AGAGUUUGAUCCUGGCUCAGAACGAACGCUGGCGGCGCGCCUAAUACAUGCAAGUCGAGCGAGAAGACGUAGCAAUACGUUUGUAAAGCGGCGAACGGGUGAGGAAUACAUGGGUAACCUACCCUCGAGUGGGGAAUAACUAACCGAAAGGUUAGCUAAUACCGCAUACGGCUCCUGGUCUGCGGAUCGGGAGAGAAAGCGAUACCGUGGGUAUCGCGCUCUUGGAUGGGCUCAUGUCCUAUCAGCUUGUUGGUGAGGUAACGGCUCACCAAGGCUUCGACGGGUAGCUGGUCUGAGAGGACGAUCAGCCACACUGGCACUGCGACACGGGCCAGACUCCUACGGGAGGCAGCAGUAAGGAAUAUUGCGCAAUGGGCGACAGCCUGACGCAGCGACGCCGCGUGGGGGAUGAAGGUCUUCGGAUUGUAAACCCCUUUCGGCAGGGAAGAUGGAACGGGUAACCGUUCGGACGGUACCUGCAGAAGCAGCCACGGCUAACUUCGUGCCAGCAGCCGCGGUAAUACGAAGGUGGCAAGCGUUGUUCGGAUUUACUGGGCGUACAGGGAGCGUAGGCGGUUGGGUAAGCCCUCCGUGAAAUCUCCGGGCCUAACCCGGAAAGUGCGGAGGGGACUGCUCGGCUAGAGGAUGGGAGAGGAGCGCGGAAUUCCCGGUGUAGCGGUGAAAUGCGUAGAGAUCGGGAGGAAGGCCGGUGGCGAAGGCGGCGCUCUGGAACAUUUCUGACGCUGAGGCUCGAAAGCGUGGGGAGCAAACAGGAUUAGAUACCCUGGUAGUCCACGCCU
rnacentral:rRNA from 1 species